rnacentral:rRNA from 1 species
UACGUAGGGGGCGAGCGUUGUCCGGAUUUAUUGGGCGUAAAGAGCUCGUAGGCGGUUCGAUAAGUCGGACGUGAAAUCUCCACGCUCAACGUGGAGGGGCCGUUCGAUACUGUCGUGACUCGAGUCCGGUAGGGGAGUGUGGAAUUCCCGGUGUAGCGGUGAAAUGCGCAGAUAUCGGGAAGAACACCCGUGGCGAAGGCGGUUCUCUGGGACGGUACUGACGCUGAGACGCGAAAGCGUGGGGAGCGAACAGG